rnacentral:rRNA from 1 species
UGGGGAAUCUUGGACAAUGGGGGCAACCCUGAUCCAGCCAUGCCGCGUGAGUGAUGAAGGCCUUAGGGUCGUAAAGCUCUUUCACCGGUGAAGAUAAUGACGGUAGCCGGAGAAGAAGUCCCGGCUAACUCCGUGCCAGCAGCCGCGGUAAUACGGAGGGGGUUAGCGUUGUUCGGAAUUACUGGGCGUAAAGCGCACGUAGGCGGACCAGAAAGUUGGGGGUGAAAUCCCGAGGGCUCAACCCUGGAACUGCCUUUCAUACUGGCGAUCUGGAGUUCGAGAGAGGUGAGUGGAAUUCCGAGUGUAGAGGUGAAAUUUCGUAGAUAUUUGGAGGAACACCAGUGGCGAAGGCGGCUCACUGGCUCGAUACUGACGCUGAGGUGCG